AACCGUGGAGCCAGGGCAAGGGAGAGACAGAAGGAGCAAGUGACCCAGGGAGACAAACACUUGGAGAUACUUGGGGCUGAGUUUGAGCAAGACUCCCUAACCUGUGUCUGGACAAGUCUGAUGUCCUGUGUGGCCCAAGAAGAACUGACCCCGUGUCUGGAGCUCCCACCGUUAUUGCAUCCCUGCUGUGGCUCACCUGCUGCUGUCUCCAGGAGCCCCUGAGAAGAUUUGCUUCCUCUCCCCUGCUAAGCUCCAGGUCCUGAGAUUAAAUUAGGGGCUGGAGCUCACUGCACUCCAGCAGUCAUGGGACCCAGGAUAGGGCCAGCGGGUGAGGUACCCCAGGUACCAGACAAGGAAACCAAAGCCACAAUGGGCACAGAAAACACACCUGGAGGCAAAGCCAGCCCAGACCCUCAGGACGUGCGGCCAAGUGUGUUCCAUAACAUCAAGGUACCUCUCAGGGCCUGGCAGGGGCCUCCGAGUCUAGAAGAGCAGGCUCUGCCACGUGCUGGUGGUGUAAUGCCAAGGAAGACUUUCUCUGAGCCUCGGUUUCCUCAUCUAUAGAAUGUGUGGCUGUGAGGAUCAAAG
rnacentral:lncRNA from 10 species